GUUAAAGAAGAAAUUUAAAUCUAAAAAAAGUAUUUAAGAGAAAUUCGAAUGAAAACGGAUAUGAGAAACUGCAGCAAAAGGAAACUGCUGAAAAAGCUCAUAAAAUCAAUAUUGUUUCAAUAGAAUUAAUGUAGUUUAAACAACACCAGUGUGACACUAAACUUAUUAUAUUAAAAUUUAAUUUGCUUAGCAAAUAACUAAAUUUAGUUCUGAAAAGAUCCAUCAAACACAGAAACCGAAAACCAAAAAAAAAAAAAAACAAAAAACUUUUGAGAGAAAUCACCCACCACAGGCAGGCAGCAGAAACCCCCCAAAAAUAAAAACAAAUAGUGUGUACAUACAAGGAAAAAAAUUGAAUUAAACUGAAACACAAUCUAAUUAACGAAAUGUUGUGUGCAGGACAACACGGAACAUUUGUAUAAGUAAUCUGUGUGGAAAACGAGAGGAAAACAAAAAUUGUUUACAAACCAAGCGAAUUUUUAAAUGUUGUUUAAAAUACGAUAUUACGAAAAAUGAAAUCCAAAGUAAAUUGAGAUUCCAAAAACAAGUAAAAACAAAAACUAAU
rnacentral:lncRNA from 1 species